GUCCGCUUGCCAUCUAUCCUAGCCCAGCAUGCCCAUGCCAGGUGCUGUCCCUGCCCUAGGUAUGCCAAGGAACAGAGGAGGGCAGGUACCUUCUGGGCGGCCUCCGGAGUCAAAUCAAGACUUGAGGUACCCUGGGGAGGCUUGUAGCCACAGCUUGGAAGCAGCAGCACCGAAGCACACACAUUGAGAACAUCUCAACGUCCGCGUCCAACCAACGAUGGCUUUUGUCCGCUCGUCUUCCAAAAGCUAAGUGUCGGGGCCAGUGGUUGGGAAAAGGGGAAAAGCCUUUACUCUCACAGGAGGCAAUCUGAUGUCAGGCUUAGCGGAGAGGUCUGUAGUGGGACGGGCUCUCUGGAAGUAAAGGGAGAGGGUUUUUCCUCAGCCUCACAAGAGCCUUUGCCAGGCAGGACAGUUCCGACCCAUCUCCACAUUCUUGUGAACUUUGCGCCAUCAGCCUUCCUCGACUCGACAUUGUCACGGCUCUUUCCCCCAAGGAGCUCGCCUUCGGGUCCGGAGCUAUAGCCACGGUCACCCGGCCGUCUGCUUCCUUCUCUAGGCUUGCUGAGCCUCUCGAGCAUCCUCCUAACUGCUUUGGCCCUAACUUCCUUUAAUGAGCUACAUUUCAUCAUCAUGUGCUGUCGUCGUAGGGCUUCCUUUCCCUUGGCCUCAUCGGCCUCUGGCUCAUCUUGCGCUAGGACUCUCGGGUCCCUAAGGGGAAAGUGCCAAGCAGUUGCAACUUGUGUCUGGGUUAUGUCAUCUGUGUCUAUGUUAUGGUGUCCGUGUCUGUGUUAUGUAGUCUGUGUCCAGUGUCUUCCAAGUCGUAGGCCUUUGCUACGUCUCGAUGCUUUAUCGGCACUCUUCUGUGCCAUAUAGGCCGUGUUCUACUCACAUUCCUUUCCGGAUAUCCCUUAUUCGGGCAUCUUUACAUUUUUACUCUUUCAGACAAGAAUGUCUGACUGGGACAAGAUGUUCUCAUCCAUCUUCCUUCUCAUUACCAGCUUUGGUAGUGCCUUUUUUCCAUUUUCUUGGAGUUCUAGAGGGAGUGUCUUACACCCUUCUCACAUGACUGCAGUAGUUCUAUAGAUUCCAUCUUCUCAAAGGGUAUAGGGCUCAAGAAUUCAUCUUUCAGAGAGUUAUCUCCAGUCCUGGCUUGUACUGUAUGUACCUAUAUUGUGUGUACCUAUAUUGACCUAUAUUGUAUGUACUCACAUUAUAUGUACCUACGCUGGCUUGUACUGUAUGUACUUACAUUGUAUGUACCUAUGUUGGCUUAUACUGUGUGUACUUACACUGUAUGUAAGCGCGUUGCCCUAUAUUAUGUGUAUUUACGCUCUGUGUAUACUUGCACUGUAUGCAUCAGCUUAUAUUGUGUGUACUUACAUUGUACCACUUAUGAUUGGAGCUGCCCUGCCCUGGUACAUAGUCACAGU